rnacentral:rRNA from 1 species
GACGAACGCUGGCGGCGUGCUUAACACAUGCAAGUCGAACGGAAAGGCCCUGCUUUUGUGGGGUGCUCGAGUGGCGAACGGGUGAGUAACACGUGAGUAACCUGCCCUUGACUUUGGGAUAACUUCAGGAAACUGGGGCUAAUACCGGAUAGGAGCUCCUGCUGCAUGGUGGGGGUUGGAAAGUUCCGGCGGUUGGGGAUGGACUCGCGGCUUAUCAGCUUGUUGGUGGGGUAGUGGCUUACCAAGGCUUUGACGGGUAGCCGGCCUGAGAGGGUGACCGGCCCCAUUGGGCCUGGGGUACGGCCCAGACUCAUACGGGAGGCAGGGGUGGGGACUAUUGCACAAUGGGCGGAAGCCUGAUGCAGCAACGCCGCGUGCGGGAUGACGGCCUUCGGGUUGUAAACCGCUUUCGCCUGUGACGAAGCGUGAGUGACGGUAAUGGGUAAAGAAGCACCGGCUAACUACGU